rnacentral:rRNA from 1 species
AGGACGAACGCUGGCGGCGUGCUUAACACAUGCAAGUCGAGCGGAAAGGCCCUUCGGGGUACUCGAGCGGCGAACGGGUGAGUAACACGUGAGUAAUCUGCCCCUAGCUCUGGGAUAGCUCCGGGAAAACCGGGAUUAAUACCGGAUACGACCACUUUAGACAUCUGUUGUGGUGGAAAGAAUUUUGGCUAGGGAUGAGCUCGCGGCCUAUCAGCUUGUUGGUGGGGUAACGGCCUACCAAGGCGACG